rnacentral:rRNA from 1 species
AAAACGACUCUCGGCAACGGAUAUCUCGGCUCUCGCAUCGAUGAAGAACGUAGCGAACUGCGAUACUUGGUGUGAAUUGCAGAAUCCCGUGAACCAUCGAGUCUUUGAACGCAAGUUGCGCCCGAAGCCAUUAUGCCGAGGGCACGUCUGCCUGGGCGUCACGC